GGAAAUUGGUGGACAAUGAAAUAGUCCAUUUUGUCUUUCCCAAUACAAAUUUGAGAUUUAACUCUCAGUGGAUUGUUCGUUUCUCUACCAAACGAUAUGGAGAGAUUGGUCGGCUUCCAAUGGAGUGGGGAAAAUGUGUUGUUCCACUCGUUAAUUCUACCAAGGUCAAAGUUCUUGGACGGUGUAUAGCUGCGCCACCAAGCCUUCACAUCAUGCAAGAGAUAAUGCUGUAUGUGAGCUUUUAUAUACACAACUCAAUUUUCACG
rnacentral:misc_RNA from 1 species